CUGAGGGUUGAACAGGCUGCUCUGUUUCCCAGGAAACCACUCUGAGUCUUGAAGACUUAUUAAGCACUCCACAAACUUGAGGGAGUGUUUUCAUACUGAUGCAGCCAGAGCAAGAUCCCCAGGGAGGUAGUGAGCUCUCCGUCCCUGCAGGUGUACAAGCUGAAGCCAAGUGAAGAAUUCGAAGAGGAUGUUGCAAGAGAAAUUCCAGCAUCAGGAAAUAUGAACGAACUCCCCUCCCCCCUCCAAACAAACAAAUGGCAGUAGUUCUGAGCCAAGCAAACAGUUCUCAGGUUCCCCAAUCUGCUGAGCUGCCAUGGCAGCUUCAGGCCUAUGCUUGGACCAAGCUCAGAAAGGCGCCUAUACCAUUGUUCUUCGGCCUCAUAAUGGACAGCUACCAGAAUGGUCUACAUGAACAAAUUCAAGGAUCUAGAAGAAUGAAGUAUGGGUCUUGCCCUAAACCCACCUGUUGUGAAACGUCCCAGGUCCUGAGAAUCCGUGCUACAGACUUUGAGCAAACAUCUGGCUUAGCCUAUGGUUCCCAUCGUGCCACCCUUCCUGUGCUGCCUAGACAGGUCCUGAGGGACAGGAUGUGAAAUUCCCAGUGUUGUCAGGACAGGAAGUGAUCUUGAAGAAAGCCUGCUGUCUGUGAUGCAAGCAGAUGCCCUGGAAGCUGGUUGAUAAAGGUUUGACAAGGCUAACAUGGCCAGAAUGAAAGCAGACCCAAGGCUAUUCUGGACCCGUGCUGGUAAAGGACUCCUGUGGCUGUGAUCAAUCCAGGAUGGUCUCCUAAGACCUGCCCAGGGUAGGAGCAGAGUUCUCCCCUCAGUCUUUGACGAAAACUGAAAUGCAGCAAGCAAGCAUGUUGAGUGGGGAAAUUGUCUGAAACAGACAUGCUUGUGUGAAGAUGCAGCACUGUGGUGUCUGAAGGAGGGCUAAGUCAUUUUUCUGGACCUCAGUUUCCUCUUCUAUAAGAUGUGGCUCACAGAAGUGACUAUUGUACUUACUCUGUUGUACUUACUUAUGGUAAGGAGGCAAUUAAAUGAUACUCUUUGAUACCAACAAA